UACGUAGGGUCCGAGCGUUGUCCGGAAUUACUGGGCGUAAAGGGUGCGUAGGCGGUUCGUUAAGUCUGUCGUGAAAUCCCCGGGCUCAACCUGGGAAUGGCGAUGGAUACUGGCGAGCUAGAGUGUGUCAGAGGAUGGUGGAAUUCCCGGUGUAGCGGUGAAAUGCGUAGAGAUCGGGAGGAACAUCAGUGGCGAAGGCGGCCAUCUGGGACAACACUGACGCUGAAGCACGAAAGCGUGGGGAGCAAACAGG
rnacentral:rRNA from 1 species